UACGUAGGGUGCGAGCGUUGUCCGGAAUUAUUGGGCGUAAAGGGCUCGUAGGCGGUUUGUCGCGUCGGGAGUGAAAUCCACUGGCUUAACUGGUGGCUUGCUUUCGAUACGGGCAGACUGGAGGUAUGCAGGGGAGAACGGAAUUCCUGGUGUAGCGGUGAAAUGCGCAGAUAUCAGGAGGAACACCGGUGGCGAAGGCGGUCUCUGGGCAUGUCCUGACGCUGAGGAGCGAAAGUGUGGGAGGCGAACAGG
rnacentral:rRNA from 1 species